GACGAACGCUGGCGGCGUGCUUAACACAUGCAAGUCGAACGGAAAGGCCCUGCUUUUGUGGGGUGCUCGAGUGGCGAACGGGUGAGUAACACGUGAGUAACCUGCCCUUGACUUUGGGAUAACUUCAGGAAACUGGGGCUAAUACCGGAUAGGAGCUCCUGCUGCAUGGUGGGGGUUGGAAAGUUUCGGCGGUUGGGGAUGGACUCGCGGGUUAUCAGCUUGUUGGUGGGGUAGUGGCUUACCAAGGCUUUGACGGGUAGCCGGCCUGAGAGGGUGACCGGCCACAUUGGGACUGAGAGACGGACCAGACUCCUACGGGAGGCAGCAGUGGGGAAUAUUGCACAAUGGGCGGAAGCCUGAUGCAGCAACGCCGCGUGCGGGAUGACGGCCUUCGGGUUGUAAACCGCUUUCGCCUGUGACGAAGCGUGAGUGACGGUAAUGGGUAAAGAAGCACCGGCUAACUACGUG
rnacentral:rRNA from 1 species